ensembl:lncRNA
CCUGGGAAAAAAAAGCGGGGCUGGGAGCUCUCUGUACAAACAACACGCCGGAGAGUGAUCAGCCAUGUCAUAAGACAACACUGAAAUCAGACUGAAUCUGUCAUCGGUUCAUAAAUUCAAUCUUUGUCAUUUUUUUCCCCCAGGACUGACCGACACGUAUAUCCACGAAGCCGUGCAUGAACUGGAAAACACUGACGUUUAGCCGAAUAGCUCAUUCAAGACAAAAGCUCCAGCAGGACAGAUAGUAUGCUGAGUAAAGCGGCCACUAUGGAGAUCCCUAUCAACCGUAACGGAGACACGAGGACGCUGGCGGAGGAUGACAGCCUUGAACAAGUUGCUAAGCUACAGUGGAGCUUAGAUGAGAAGGUAGGGAGUUUCACAAUCACCAGGGUGAGAAGGACAACACUGUGUGUGUGUGUGUGUGUGUGUGUGUGUGUGUGUGUGUGUGUGUGUGUGUGUGUGUACUAUAGAUUCAAGCAAUGCCACCUAAUGUUUUGUCACGUUGUCUGACUUGCUGAAUGAAAUGGGUC